rnacentral:misc_RNA from 1 species
AAGUCGUAACAAGGUUUUCGUAGGUGAACCUGCGUAAGGAUCAUUAACGAGCAAGCCAAUUUCUUGGCAAGCUGUUUGAACAAUGUUCAAGUCCCUGAGACCAAUUGCUGGGUCAGGGCGGCUUCAUUUGAAGCGACAACGGCUGCGACUGACUUGUCAACUGCAGUGAGUUGGAUUGGAGUAGUUGCGCUGUUAGUGUUCCAGUGUUCAAGGCUGGGUGCCCAUUCCUUGCUUUUUGCUGGGACUGUAUCCUCUGGAGAUGCAGUGGGCUGUAAAGUUGGCGUUCACUGGCGUUGACGC